rnacentral:rRNA from 1 species
AUUGAACGCUGGCGGCGUGCUUAACACAUGCAAGUCGUGCGGUAACAGGCGUAGCAAUACGUGCUGACGAGCGGCGAACGGGUGCGUAAUACAAGGGAAUCUGCCCUUUAGUGGGGAAUAACCCGGCGAAAGCCGGGCUAAUGCCGCAUAAGAUCUUCGGAUGAAAGCGGGGGAGUCGUAAGACCUCGCGCUGAUGGAUGAGCCCACUGCCGGAUUAGUCAGUUGGUUGGAGGUAAAGGCUCACCAAGGCGACGAUCCGUAGCUGGUCUGAGAGGACGGCCAGCCACACUGGGAC